rnacentral:rRNA from 1 species
CCUACGGGAGGCAGCAGUGGGGAAUAUUGCACAAUGGGGGAAACCCUGAUGCAGCGACGCCGCGUGAAGGAAGAAGUAUUUCGGGAUGUAAACUUCUAUCAGCAGGGAAGAAAAUGACGGUACCUGACUAAGAAGCCCCGGCUAACUACGUGCCAGCAGCCGCGGUAAUACGUAGGGGGCAAGCGUUAUCCGGAUUUACUGGGUGUAAAGGGAGCGUAGACGGCAGUGCAAGUCCGGAGUGAAAGCCCGGGGCUCAACCCUGGGACUG